ensembl:piRNA 21ur-1127 ncRNA
UAAUCGAUAUGCUAUUUUUCC